GAAAUUUGAGAAGACCUGUCCUUAGUACGAGAGGACCGGGAUGGACGUACCUCUGGUGUACCAGUUGUUCUGCCAAGGGCAUGGCUGGGUAGCUAUGUACGGAAUGGAUAAGCGCUGAAAGCAUCUAAGCGCGAAGCCAACUUCAAGAUAAGAUUUCCCACCGCAAGGGUAAGACCCCAGAAAGACUAUCUGGUUGAUAGGUCGAAGGUGUAAGUGCAGCAAUGUAUUUAGCUUAUCGAUACUAAUAGGUCGAGGACUUGACCAAU
rnacentral:rRNA from 1 species